UUCAAGUCUUAUUAAACUCCUUUGUCACCUGUUUGUGAUCAAGUUAUGUGAAUGAGUCAUGGGCACUUGAAAACGUAGCGCCAGCACUGUGGCCACUGGACCUCGUGUACUGAUCCCGCUGAUGGCACUUCCUCUAGCACUGUGGCCACUCGACCUCGUGUACUGAUCCUGCUGAUGGCACUUCCUCUAGCACUGUGGCCCACUUGUAGUUUUCUACAUCAACCACUGUUCACAGCAGAGAAAGCACUCUGAUGAAGUCCGAGAGCAGCACUGAUCUGCAACCACUGAGAAACUAUGAUUACAGCUCUGACGAGAUCCUUGGGACUCGGACAUUACCUCAGAAUACUAUUAACCCUGAGAAGGAAUCACAUCUCCUGAAGAAAUGGCUGAUUAUACAUCUGGGGAAAGAAUUCCUGCAAAAUUAGUCCAGAAUAUUCUUACCAGAAAGCAAAGAAGUUAUCCAAGACUAAUAAAGAUGCAUCAAAGACUUUA
rnacentral:lncRNA from 1 species